rnacentral:rRNA from 1 species
AGUGAACGCUGGCGGUAGGCCUAACACAUGCAAGUCGAACGGCAGCACAGUAAGAGCUUGCUCUUACGGGUGGCGAGUGGCGGACGGGUGAGGAAUACAUCGGAAUCUACUUUUUCGUGGGGGAUAACGUAGGGAAACUUACGCUAAUACCGCAUACGACCUACGGGUGAAAGCAGGGGAUCUUCGGACCUUGCGCGAUUGAAUGAGCCGAUGUCGGAUUAGCUAGUUGGCGGGGUAAAGGCCCACCAAGGCGGCGAUCCGUAGCUGGUCUGAGAGGAUGAUCGGCCACACUGGAACUGGGACACGGUCCAGACUCCUACGGGAGGCAGCAGUGGGGAAUAUUGGACAAUGGGCGCAAGCCUGAUCCAGCCAUACCGCGUGGGUGAAGAAGGCCUUCGGGUUGUAAAGCCCUUUUGUUGGGAAAGAAAAGCAGCAGGUUAAUACCCCGCUGUUCUGACGGUACCCAAAGAAUAAGCACCGGCUAACUUCGUG